UACGUAGGGGGCAAGCGUUGUCCGGAAUUAUUGGGCGUAAAGAGCUCGUAGGCGGCCUGUUACGUCUGCUGUGAAAUCCCGGGGCUUAACCCCGGGCGUGCAGUGGAUACGGGCAGGCUGGAGGCAGGCAGGGGAGAACGGAAUUCCCGGUGUAGCGGUGAAAUGCGCAGAUAUCAGGAGGAACACCGAUGGCGAAGGCAGGUCUCUGGGCAUUAACUGACGCUGAGGAGCGAAAGCAUGGGGAGCGAACAGG
rnacentral:rRNA from 1 species